rnacentral:rRNA from 1 species
GACGAACGCUGGCGGCGUGCUUAACACAUGCAAGUCGAACGGAAAGGCCCUUCGGGGUACUCGAGUGGCGAACGGGUGAGUAACACGUGGGUGAUCUGCCCUGCACUUUGGGAUAAGCCUGGGAAACUGGGUCUAAUACCGAAUAGGACCGCGCGCUUCAUGGUGUGUGGUGGAAAGCGUUUGCGGUGUGGGAUGGGCCCGCGGCCUAUCAGCUUGUUGGUGGGGUAAUGGCCUACCAAGGCGACGACGGGUAGCCGGCCUGAGAGGGUGACCGGCCACACUGGGACUGAGAUACGGCCCAGACUCCUACGGGAGGCAGCAGUGGGGAAUAUUGCACAAUGGGCGCAAGCCUGAUGCAGCGACGCCGCGUGAGGGAUGACGGCCUUCGGGUUGUAAACCUCUUUCACCAGGGACGAAGCGCAAGUGACGGUACCUGGAGAAGAAGCACCGGCCAACUACGUG